rnacentral:rRNA from 1 species
UACAGAGGGGGCAAGCGUUGUUCGGAAUUACUGGGCGUAAAGGGCGCGUAGGCGGCCUGCUAAGUCGAACGUGAAAUCCCUGGGCUCAACCCAGGAACUGCGUCCGAUACUGGUUGGCUUGAAUCCGGGAGAGGGAUGCGGAAUUCCAGGUGUAGCGGUGAAAUGCGUAGAUAUCGUGAGGAACACCAGAGGCGAAGGCGGCUACCUGGACAAUUGCUGACGCUCAGGCACGAAAGCGUGGGGAGCAAAAGGG